AGACCCGAAACCCGGUGAUCUAGCCAUGGGCAGGUUGAAGGUUGGGUAACACUAACUGGAGGACCGAACCGACUAAUGUUGAAAAAUUAGCGGAUGACCUGUGGCUGGGGGUGAAAGGCCAAUCAAACCGGGAGAUAGCUGGUUCUCCCCGAAAGCUAUUUAGGUAGCGCCUCGUGAAUUCAUCUCCGGGGGUAGAGCACUGUUUCGGCUAGGGGGCCAUCCCGGCUUACCAACCCGAUGCAAACUGCGAAUACCGGAGAAUGUUAUCACGGGAGACACACGGCGGGUGCUAACGUCCGUCGUGAAGAGGGAAACAACCCAGACCGCCAGCUAAGGUCCCAAAGUCAUGGUUAAGUGGGAAACGAUGUGGGAAGGCCCAGACAGCCAGGAUGUUGGCUUAGAAGCAGCCAUCAUUUAAAGAAAGCGUAAUAGCUCACUGGUCGAGUCGGCCUGCGCGGAAGAUGUAACGGGGCUAAACCAUGCACCGAAGCUGCGGCAGCGAACGUAUCACCCAAGACAACUUUACGGAGUUGACGAUUGACGGAGCGAAGCGACGUCAAAGCGUUCAUUAAAGUCGAGUUGGCUUAGGGAUACGUUCGUUGGGUAGGGGAGCGUUCUGUAAGCCUGUGAAGGUGUGUCGUGAGGCAUGCUGGAGGUAUCAGAAGUGCGAAUGCUGACAUAAGUAACGAUAAAGCGGGUGAAAAGCCCGCUCGCCGGAAGACCAAGGGUUCCUGUCCAACGUUAAUCGGGGCAGGGUGAGUCGACCCCUAAGGCGAGGCCGAAAGGCGUAGUCGAUGGGAAACGGGUUAAUAUUCCCGUACUUGGUGUUACUGCGAAGG
rnacentral:rRNA from 3 species